GGCAUUUUAUAAUUCAAUUACAAUAAAAAUGACUUGCAUCAUCGGAAAACGUACAAAAAACCGCAUAUAAGACUUUUAAACAGUUUUUUUUUAUUUUUCAAAUAGUCUUUAAGUUAUUGCUGUUUUAAAUGUAAAAAUUGGACCAAAAUGUCGCAAUAAGUACUGGGUACUAGGUCAAAAACCCGUUUUUGACAGCGUAUAACUCGAAAACAAUAUUAGAUAUAAAAAAACUGUUUAAAUGUCUUAUAUGUAGGUUUUUGUAAGCUUUCUGAUGAUGCAAGUC